GCUKGCUCUSKRGWGAYKARUGGYGGACGGGUGAGUAAUGUCUGGGAAACUGCCUGAUGGAGGGGGAUAACUACUGGAAACGGUAGCUAAUACCGCAUAACGUCGCAAGACCAAAGAGGGGGACCUUCGGGCCUCUUGCCAUCAGAUGUGCCCAGAUGGGAUUAGCUAGUAGGUGGGGUAACGGCUCACCUAGGCGACGAUCCCUAGCUGGUCUGAGAGGAUGACCAGCCACACUGGAACUGAGACACGGUCCAGACUCCUACGGGAGGCAGCAGUGGGGAAUAUUGCACAAUGGGCGCAAGCCUGAUGCAGCCAUGCCGCGUGUAUGAAGAAGGCCUUCGGGUUGUAAAGUACUUUCAGCGGGGAGGAAGGUGUUGUGGUUAAUAACCGCAGCAAUUGACGUUACCCGCAGAAGAAGCACCGGCUAACUCCGUGCCAGCAGCCGCGGUAAUACGGAGGGUGCAAGCGUUAAUCGGAAUUACUGGGCGUAAAGCGCACGCAGGCGGUCUGUCAAGUCGGAUGUGAAAUCCCCGGGCUCAACCUGGGAACUGCAUUCGAAACUGGCAGGCUAGAGUCUUGUAGAGGGGGGUAGAAUUCCAGGUGUAGCGGUGAAAUGCGUAGAGAUCUGGAGGAAUACCGGUGGCGAAGGCGGCCCCCUGGACAAAGACUGACGCUCAGGUGCGAAAGCGUGGGGGAGCAAACAGGAUUAGAUACCCUGGUAGUCCACGCCGUAAACGAUGUCGACUUGGAGGUUGUGCCCUUGAGGCGUGGCUUCCGGAGCUAACGCGUUAAGUCGACCGCCUGGGGAGUACGGCCGCAAGGUUAAAACUCAAAUGAAUUGACGGGGGCCCGCACAAGCGGUGGAGCAUGUGGUUUAAUUCGAUGCAACGCGAAGAACCUUACCUACUCUUGACAUCCAGAGAACUUUCCAGAGAUGGAUUGGUGCCUUCGGGAACUCUGAGACAGGUGCUGCAUGGCUGUCGUCAGCUCGUGUUGUGAAAUGUUGGGUUAAGUCCCGCAACGAGCGCAACCCUUAUCCUUUGUUGCCAGCGGUUAGGCCGGGAACUCAAAGGAGACUGCCAGUGAUAAACUGGAGGAAGGUGGGGAUGACGUCAAGUCAUCAUGGCCCUUACGAGUAGGGCUACACACGUGCUACAAUGGCGCAUACAAAGAGAAGCGACCUCGCGAGAGCAAGCGGACCUCAUAAAGUGCGUCGUAGUCCGGAUUGGAGUCUGCAACUCGACUCCAUGAAGUCGGAAUCGCUAGUAAUCGUAGAUCAGAAUGMUACGGUGAAUACGUUCCCGGGCCUUGUACAC
rnacentral:rRNA from 1 species